AGUUUUGCACGGUGGCAGUAUUAUAGCCAAUGAGGUUUAUGUGAGGUAUAAUCACCGCUAAUUGAAAACUUUUCCCAAUACCCCGCCUUGAAAAUUUGCAAUGUAGUUGGCACUGGCAAUUUUUUUUUUUUUUUUUGGUAG